GACGAACGCUGGCGGCGUGCCUAAUACAUGCAAGUAGAACGCACAGUUUAUACCGUAGCUUGCUACACCAUAGACUGUGAGUUGCGAACGGGUGAGUAACGCGUAGGUAACCUGCCUGGUAGCGGGGGAUAACUAUUGGAAACGAUAGCUAAUACCGCAUAAUAUUGAUUAUUGCAUGAUAAUUGAUUGAAAGAUGCUAUUGCAUCACUACCAGAUGGACCUGCGUUGUAUUAGCUAGUAGGUGAGGUAACGGCUCACCUAGGCGACGAUACAUAGCCGACGUGAGAGGGGGCUCGGCCACAGUGGGAGUGAGACACGGCCAAGACCCCGACGGGAGGCCGCAGUAGGGCAUUUUCGGAAAUGGACGAAAGUCUGACCGAGCAACGCCGCGGGAGUGAAGAAGUUUUUCGGAUCGUAAAGCUCUGUUGAAAGAGAAGAAGGGGGGGGAGAGGGAAAGUUCCACACGGUGGCGGUUUUUAACAAAAAAGGGACGCCUAACUACGU
rnacentral:rRNA from 1 species